GACGAAGACUUCCGUCGCCGCAGGCAGAACGCACUCCCUGGAAUCGCCCUGCACCAGCGCUACCUGAGGAACUCCGCCCAAAACCCCUCGGAGGAAGAGGAGGAGCACGGCCUACAGAGUCUGGGACUAACAAGAGGACACACGGACACCAAGAGGAAGAAACUGUGGCCGAAGGAGGCCGAGUCCAAAAAGAAAAGAGCUGCUCGACACUUCCCUCGGUUUGGUGGACUCGGAGCCUUUUUUUAAACACACACACACACACACACACACACACACACACACACACACACACACACACAUGAAUAUGUAUAGUUGUCGGCAGAAGCGCCAUCCAUGAUUAGUGUAAUAUUGCGGUGCAGGUUAGGGUUGGGGUCAGAGGUCGGCCUGCAGAGAUCUCACCUUCAUGUUGUGUUUUUGUCCAAGAAACAUUUUUAGUAGUGAAGCUUUUUUUAAUCGCUGUAUUUAUUGUGGGUGGGCCCGACGGAUGUAAAGUGACACGUUUAGACACUUAAUCUCCCGUGAUUGGACUUCUUGUCUUUUUAAUUUUGUGUUUGAAUUUUAGGCCGGAGCAGAAUUCAAGCAGCCGUCUUGUUUUUUGAUACGAUGGAACAAUAACUGGGGUGAUAGCGUGAAUAGAAAAGAACAGGCGAAGGUCAAUCUGCUCAGAGGACGCUUAUUUACGACUAGAAGAGAAAGACGUCUUCAGUAGAGAGGAGACAGAGUGUCCACCUCUCGUGGGUGUUUUUGUAAAAGAUUUCUCAUCCCGGUGUUCAUCAUUUGAUGUUUCCUUCAGUAUUUGUUCUCCUGGUUGUUUGAAAGGUGGAAAUGUAGAGAUAUCAAAGACAUGUUCAUUUUUUUAUGGACUCUUACCAAUAAAUGCUUCAAGAAAACA